rnacentral:rRNA from 1 species
UGGCGGACGGGUGAGUAACGCGUGGGUAACCUGCCUCAUACAGGGGGGUAACAGUUAGAAAUGACUGCUAAUACCGCAUAAGACCACAGCACCGCAUGGUGCAGGGGUAAAAACUCCGGUGGUAUGAGAUGGACCCGCGUCUGAUUAGGUAGUUGGUGGGGUAACGGCCUACCAAGCCGACGAUCAGUAGCCGACCUGAGAGGGUGACCGGCCACAUUGGGACUGAGACACGGCCCAA